CAACAUUCAAACACUGUACUACAUACAAUGAAACUCUAAAUGCAGUUGCAUUAGAAAACAAAAUCAUUGAUUUUUGUAAACCUAUUUAUAUAGGUUUUGCAGUGCUGGAAAUUUCCAAGUAUUUAAUGUAUGACUAUCACUAUAACGUAAUGCAGAAACAUUAUGAUGAUAAAAUUGAGCUCAUGUAUACAGAUACAGAUUCAUUGGUAUACUAUAUUCAAACUGAUGAUUUUUACAAUGAUCUGUUGAACAAUCCCAACUUGUUGAAUCGAAUGGACACUGCAAAUCUACCCCGUGACCACCCGUGUUACAUUGCUGAGAGAAAGAAGAUUCCU